AGCAGCCGCGGUAAUUCCAGCUCCAAUAGCGUAUAUUAAAGUUGUUGCAGUUAAAAGCUCGUAGUUGAAUUUCGGGAUCGGACAGGUUGGUCGCGCCUUCGGUGUGUACUGGUCUAGUCGGUUUCUCCCUUCUGACGAACCACGACUGUCAUUAAUUUGGUGUCGUGGGAAAUCAGGACUGUUACUUUGAAAAAUUAGAGUGUUUAAAAGCAGGCAUUAGCUUGAAUACAUUAGCAAUGGAAUAAUGAAAUAGGACGUUUGAUCCUAUUUUGUUGGUUUCUAGGAUCGACGUAAUGAUUAAUAGGGAUAGUUGGGGGCAUUAGUAUUCAAUUGUCAGAGGUGAAAUUCUUGGAUUUAUUGAAGACUAACUACUGCG
rnacentral:misc_RNA from 1 species